CCUGGAGGGAUGUGGAUGACCACAUCCUCAGCAGACAUCCCAGCCUCCAAGACCUCCAGGCUUAGAUGUGAACCAAGAGGAUCUCAGUCUUCCUUGGGUUAUGUUCCUCAUGUAUGUUUGAGCCGGUAAUUCAGGACUCUGGCAGGAUGUACAGCAAUCUGGUGCAGAGCUGCUGUGUGACUGUAGUUGCCACCGGGACGCUGUUCCCACAGUGAUGAAGGCUAAUGAUGGGGCUGACUGACUAAUGGCUAAUGAUGGGAUUUCAUGACUGACCUGCAUGGAAGCUAAGGAGCAGUCACUGACCAUAGUGUUGGCUGAAGAAGAGGAAGGAGCGUGUGAGCAACAGAAGCAUCUCUCUGCCAGUGGUGCUCAACCACGGACUGGCGGUGCUUCACAGCACUGCAUCCCUUCACACCCCCUCCUUUGGGCAAGUGCUGCUUUGAACAACAAACAAAUGAUGGCCUCUGGCUUGUCAUAGCACAUUCACGUCUCUUGAAGCAUUCAAUUUUUAUCUAACAUACAUUCUCCUCAUUCCCCAACAUCUUGCCACGUCACAGGGAAAAUACGUUUUCAAAACCAAAUCAAUUCCAACUGCCAAGGCUGCAUUGCUGAGCCACUUUUUCACAAGCUUUUAAUUUUCUUCUUGCUCUAGGUGGCUGGAGCCCUUUCCUCUUAAUGCCUUCAAACCAGAAUCUGAUGCAGGCAACACAGGGAUCCACCCCAGGCCUUGAGGUGCUGCCACCGCACACGUAACUGGCACCAGUUCCAUCAGAUCAGUUGUUUCCAAACUAUGGAUCAUAACCCCUACCAGUGUUGCUCACCUAAUGGUAACACAUGUUCAUCCACUGUUGUUGCUGAUGUCCAGGGCUGCAUGAAAACGAUUGAUCUACAGGAGAGUCAGAAGCAGAAAAAGCCCUUUGUCUGAGCGUUUGCUGUUUGGGAUCUGCUGGCUGAGCGCGCCGGUUGGUCACCUAAGGACACAUCUACGUUACAUGGUGCCGUGUCAUGGGAGAGAUAGCCAAGAUAGCCCAGGAAGAAGGACGAUAUAUCUGCGUGGCAUGGUGCCAGGCUGCGUACUCAUUUGGCUCCCGGGGGCUGUAUAAAUGAGUUAGCUCUACUCGGUUGGCACAGCUCUGUGCUGAUCUGGCUGUCCUGAUCCUGGGACUGGAACUGGCUUGUUUGGAGCAUCCAGGAGGUGAGAGUGCCUGUGGCUCCGGUAUUUUCUGCUGCGAGAGAAGUGGCCUUAAUUGCCCCAGCUGGUGGCUGGGUCCCAGGCACGCAGGGUCUCCUCUGUCCCCCAUGCUCCACCACUGCCUGGUCAAAAGCCCUGUUAUCAGAAGGACAGCAAUAAACCCCGCUGGAUGUUGCAAAAGAGGUUUUCUUUUUAAAAAGCCUGUUUUGCUUUAUUAUUUUUUUUACAUGAAUUUGUCUCUUUUAUUUGGCUGCUUCCCACUUCUGCCUUGAAAGUAAGGGACCAAGAGCUUUCUCUUAAGACACCAAGAGCUUUUUGUGAGACGGUCACUACUUAAAUCGUCAGGAGUCAAAUGCCGCGGCUCUUUUAGGGCCUUGAUACAGAGCUGUGAAAGAGUGAAAGUGGCAGAUUCUCAUCUCUCAACCAAGCCAUGUUUUCAGGGACCCAGGAGCUGCCAACAAAGAAGUUCCCUCUUUAGAUAUUCUAUUGUUGAUUAUUUCAAAGCCUCAGCUGCUAGUCAGCCUGAAGGGAAUAGCUCUGUUCUUAAGCCCUAAAAGUCUCAAUUCUGCCACAGAAAAGCUAUCUAGCUGGCUCAUUGGUAUCACCUUCAGAAGCUUCCGGAGAGAACUCAAGAUUGACAGGUUCACUCGCUGAUCAGGGUUGUGAUCUCCACCUUGUUUCUGAGGAUUUUGAAAAGCCCGAUGUGCUCUGCACUUAGCUUGCGCAGCUGUUUUUUUCUGCCCUGGCUAUACAUGUUCUGAUCUAUGGAUAUGAUACUCAUACACAAUUGAUUAAGGCCCUUCUGAAUUUCUUUGCUUCCAGAAGCAGCAUCCAUCAAAGUCACCUACAAUUAAUCACAUUUCACACACUGAGUGGAAACAAUUGUCUUCUGUAAAAGCCCUCCAUAAACCGAGAAAAAGACAUUUGAAAAUGGCUCCCUAAACCAAAGUUACUAGUGGUUGCAAUUCCCAAUACCGUAUUUCCAGGCAAAAAGAACAUCAGGUUCAUAUUUUCUAACUUUAUUUUCUCUGUAGAUAAAAGCUUCCCAUAGUUACUUCACCUUCAAAAAUGACUAGAAAAGGAUGCAUGUUGGAAAAGUCCUUUAAGUUGCUAUCAGCAGUCUUCUAUUCCUGAUGCUGGCUGGCUGUUGGAUGAUUAUUUCUCUACAGCACUCCUGCGGAGGGUCUAAGCAACAGACUAAAGCUUUCAAGUUUUCAAAGCUGAUAUUUUCACAAGCCUCUCUAGACACAAUAAUGCCUUCAAUUUUCAGGCAGGCUAUUUAGUCUUCCUCCGUUUGUUCACCCUGCUGACACUGAUGUUCUGAUCUGGCAUAAUAUAGCUUGCCAGGUCCUCUCCAUAAACAGUGUAAGGAGGUUCACAGAUAUCACGAAAGCUGCGUGAAGGUUCAGGCACUACUCCUGUAACAACUGUAAAAGAUUGCAUACGUCUGGAUGCAUAUGAAUCACAUGAAAGCAGUUCUGAGAAAAUAGUCCUGCCAAAAACUUUCUUGUUCAUACCUCCCAAGUAUAUCAAACCAUUUGCAAGAAGUCUUGGAAGGCAGCUAAAAAAGCCAUAUUCAAAUAAGACAUAGCAAUCAUUCAUGAGGCCAGUAUCAAAUAUUUUUGGUCCUUACAUGAAUUUUACCACUAAGGAAUUCGGAAAAAAAUUGCCAGAAACUUUAAAAUGACAAUGCCAUCGUAAAUUAAUACCUCCUUUCUCACAGAAGGUUGCAUUGUGUUUGUUCUCUAAGCAGGAAACCUUGACCUUUCCUGCCUUCAUUGAAGAUCUACUUUGAUGUUCUUGGCCAGCAGCUGACUGGCCCUGUGAAAGAAACUUGAGGCUUUGCAGACUGUUGCCUACUUCUGUGGUCACAUUUAGUUCCAGAAGUACCUGAGGUUUGCAGUAACCUUCUCCCACCAGAUAUGCAGCAUAGGUAAGAUGGAAGGCGCUGUCAAAAGAAGCCCUCAUAGCACCGCGUAACUGUUGAAGAGGCUCAGGAGAAAGUCAGAGUUUUCAUAACAUAUUUUAAGGUGUCCAGGAUUGCAUAGCUUGGUUUUAUCUCCAGAGAGGUUCAGAUGUGUAAAAUCACAGCCAUAAAUUUGCUUGCUGGCCUUGAGUUUGUUACACAGAGAAAUUGUAUUAUUUCUUACACAAAAAGAUCUUCAAGAUACCAGCAAGUUGACGUUACACUGCGGCCUCCCAGUCAUGCUCAUACAGAUUGUACAUUUUGCGUAAAUCAGCUCUUUCUUGGUAGCUCUUAAAGGUAAUAAAACUAAUAGCAGGAAAACGUAACUGCACGAGCACUCUUCGAUACAACUGAUAAUGCAUCCAGGGUAGAAUAAAACUAGUGGUUAAAUUCACAAGGUCUGACUUCAUCAGUGAAAGCAGGAGACCUGUUGAUAUUCCAGCAGCAAACACUAGCAAAUGCACACUAAACAUUUACAGCAUGUAAAUAGCAGCCUCCAAAUAGUCUGGGUAGAAUCUCACUUUUUCUGCUUGAGGUGGUUAUCUGGUGAGAGAAGUUUUCUGGUUGAAGGAAUAAAAAAAAAUGUAAGCCCAAGGCCAGCAUGGAAAACUUCUGGGUCCAAAGAAAACCUUCGGCUUGUUUUGUAACUCCCACUGUCACAGCCGCUUCUUUCAUUGCUUUUUGUAGAGGAUGCAGGCUUCUCUCAACAUUUAUACAUCCUGUUGGCUGCAAUGAGCCAGCUCGCUUUGGAGGUCAAAUAUGUUAUUUUGAUUAGUUUAACACCUCCCCAGAAAACCUGCCUUCUCCCCAUGCAUCAUACAGUUAACAGCAUCCAGGUCUACUUCAGGCAUGCUCCCAACAUACUUUUGGCUUUUCAAAGUGUUAAAAAUGUGAAAAGUUGCCUUUGGGCCUCUCAAAACCCACAAUUUACAAUAUAUUUCUGAACUUCAUGGGAUUAAAUUCAUUAACAAAAUCUCAAAUUUAUUAUAUUACCUUCGCAGGGUCUGGAGUUAACAUUCAGGUUUUGUAUCCCUGUCUUCAUGAUAAAGUACACACCAUAGCCAUUGGCAUGGUGAGGCUUCACAGCCAAACCAGUUUUGCUCUAAAGAUCUUGGCAAAAUUUGAAACAUAUUCUUCACUCUGAAAUUUUCAUGAAAUCUUACCUGUGUCUACACACUGGAAUUAAGUGAGUUCAUGCUAGUUUCCUACAUAUGCUCAACAUCUGGAAAAAAAUACACUUUCCAGUGAUUUUUGGAUGCUUUCUACUUCUGUAACCCAAAAGUUUGUACUUCUGCAGUAGCACAAAAAUGUGUAAAGGUCCAUGUUCUUCCUCUACUCCUAUUUAAUAUGGCGCCUGUUUUAUCAGCCUAAGAACACUAUAAGAAAUGAUCAAACAGUUACAUCUCUGAACAUUACAUUUUCCUGUGGUUUUUGACAGAGCUUUUUUGCACUCCUUGCAAAUGUGGUUUGUUUCAUAAUGACCAUAUUCAACACUGUUUACCAAUUAAGAUCUGGUUUUGCCUCAAAAAUUGUUAAUUCUUUUUUUGAGAGACAGAAAAUGUGUGUCUUUUAUUUUUUAAUCACAGCUGGCCAUUACAAAAUUUAGGGUACAAUAAUUUUGUAAUGGAGAAAAAAGAGAGGGAAAAAGUAGUAAUAUAUGUCCUGUCUUGCAACUGUAAUGUCUUCUUAGGUAGAAGCAUAGCUACUUUCUUCUGGGGGGAGGAUUCAUUAAGCCUUUCAUCUCACAGAGGGAAAAGGUAUAUUAUGUGGAUGUGUUUGCCAAAAAAUUAAAAAAAUCUCUCCAUUAAGAUUAACUUUGAAACUCCCUCAAAACAGUAUGUUAUAGAAAAGUUCAAAGACAUUUCCUUUCCUCUCUAAGAUAAAAAGAGUUGCACAUAAUAUUCUGUGUUUCAAAAAGUUAUUCAUCACAAUCACAGUUAAAGUUUUAAAUUUCAUCUUAAGGUUGUUUAUUCCCUGAUAAAGUGACCACAAUGCAAUAGACAUGUAGUAUCAACAGAAAAGAAGAUGGUUCGACAGAUUAAAAAUGGCAUGUAUUCAUAUUUGGAGCUCUAAAACAAAGAUGAAGUUUUCAUAUUCCCAUAGCAGUAGCCACUCUUCCAGAAUGUAUUUUUGCUAUAAAAGUCUCAAGAAAUAAAUAAAAAAACCCCUAAGAUUUUGUCCUGUUUCCUUUUUGUUCCCAGCUGUCUGCAGCUGUCU